rnacentral:rRNA from 1 species
UUUGUAAAUGGCCGCAGUAUUCUGACUGUGCUAAGGUAGCAUAAUCAUUAGUCUCUUAAUUAGAGGCUGGUAUGAAUGGCGAGACGAGAAAAAAGCUGUCUCUAAAAUAUUUGUCGAAUUUCAUUUUUAAGUGAAAAAGCUUAAAUGCAUUUGGAGGACGAUCAGACCCUUUGGAGCUUUAUUUCAUUAAAGUUUUAGGUUAUUUUUAUAACAAAAAUUGUGAUGAAAUUUUGUUGGGGCGACAUAAAGUUAAAAGAUACCACUUUAUUUAAAAAACAUAAGUAGAUGGAAAAUUGAUCCCCCCAGGGGGAUUAGAAGACUAAGUUACCCUAGGGAUAACAGCGUAAUCUUUUUGGAGAGUUCUUAUCGAUAAAAAGGUUUGCGACCUCGAUGUUGGAUUAAGAAAUUAGCAAGGUGCAGAAGUUUUGCUGGAAAGUCUGUUCGACUUUUAAUUUCUUACAUGAUCUGAGUUCAAA